GGGGGAGUGAGCCAAUCUGGUAUGCUGCCAGCUUUGGGAGCUGGUUAUCUGAGUUCAAAUCUCAGCUCCCCCA
rnacentral:tRNA from 1 species